rnacentral:rRNA from 1 species
GACGAACGCUGGCGGCGUGCUUAACACAUGCAAGUCGAACGGAAAGGCCCUGCUUUUGUGGGGUGCUCGAGUGGCGAACGGGUGAGUAACACGUGAGUAACCUGCCCUUGACUUUGGGAUAACUUCAGGAAACUGGGGCUAUUACCGGAUAGGAGCUCCUGCUGCAUGGUGGGGGUUGGAAAGUUUCGGCGGUUGGGGAUGGACUCGCGGCUUAUCAGCUUGUUGGCGGGGUAGUGGCUUACCAAGGCUUUGACGGGUAGCCGGCCUGAGAGGGUGACCGGCCACAUUGGGACUGAGAUACGGCCCAGACUCCUACGGGAGGCAGCAGUGGGGAAUAUUGCACAAUGGGCGGAAGCCUGAUGCAGCAACGCCGCGUGCGGGAUGACGGCCUUCGGGUUGUAAACCGCUUUCGCCUGUGACGAAGCGUGAGUGACGGUAAUGGGUAAAGAAGCACCGGCUAACUACGUG